rnacentral:lncRNA from 1 species
CCCACGGCUCGACGUCCCCAAUGUCCCCAAGGGAUGUGGGACGGUGCCACACCGCGUGUCCCCGAUGUCACCCACACCAAGGACUGAAAACCAUCGGGAAACCCGUGUCCCCUGUUGUCCCCUUUUGUCCCCAACGCAAUAAAUGGAGACCCAACACGACUGCGUGUCCUCGAUGUCACAUCUGUCCCCAACGUCCCUGAUGUCCCCAACGCCACGAAUGGAGACCCAACACGACCCCAUGACCCCAGUGUCCCCAAUGUCCCCAGUGCCCUCGAUGUCCCCAAUGCAAUGGAUGGAGAUCCAACUUGACCCCAUGUCCCCAAAGUCCCCAGUGUCCCCAAACCAAUGGAUGGAGACCCACCACGACCCCAUGUCCCCAAUGUCCCCAAUGUCCCCAAACCAAUGGAUGGAGAUCCAACCUGACCCCAUGUCCCCAAUGUCCCCAUGUCCCCAGUCCAAUGGAUGGAGAUCCAACCUCACCCCAUGUCCCCAAUGUCCCCAGUGUCCUCAAACCAAUGGAUGGAGAUCCAACCUGACGCCAUGUCCCUAAUGUCCCCACUGUCCCCAAACCAAUGAAUGGAGACCCAAAAUGACCCCAUGUCCCCAAAGUCCCCAAUGUCCCCAAACCAAUGGAUGGAGAUCCAACCUCACCCCAUGUCCCCAAUGUCCCCAGUGCCCUCAGUGUCCCCAAACCAAUGGAUGGAGAUCCAACAUGACCCCAUGUCCCCAAAGUCCCCAGUGUCCCCAAUCCAAUGGGUGGAGACCCAACGUGACCCCACGGGAUCCAGUUGGCCAACGACAACGAGAUCCAGUUGGCCAACGUCAAUGGCACGAAUUUUAAUGGGAGCCACUUGGGCAACAACAAUGGAACCCAGUUGGCCAACGUCAAGGAGACCAACACCAAUGGGAUCCAGUAGGCCACACUCAAUGGGACCAGAACCAAUUGGACUCACAUGGCCAAUGCUGAUGGGACCAGUAGCCAUGGGACCCAGUCAAUAGGAACAGAACCAAUGGGAUCCAGUUGGCCAACGUCAACCUGACCAACACCUAUGGGAUCCAGUAGGCCACACUCAAUGGGACCAGAACCAAUGGGACCCAGUAGGCCAACAUCAAUGGGACCAGAACCAAUGGGACCCACAUGGCCAAUGCUGAUGGGACCAGGAGCAAUGGGACCCAAUAGGCCAUAGUCAAUGGGACCAGUGCCAAUGGGACCCAGUUGGCCAACACCAAUGGGACCAACGUCAAUGGGACCAACACUGAUGAGACCCGGGCCAAUGCCAACGGACCCCACAGCCCAGGACUCAGCACCCCAC